rnacentral:rRNA from 1 species
CACAGUGUAGCAAUACAUGGGUGGCGACCGGCAAACGGGUGCGGAACACGUACGCAACCUUCCUUCAGGCGGGGAACAGCCCAGAGAAAUUUGGAUUAAUACCCCAUAAUAUUUUGAGAUGGCAUCAUCUUAUUAUUAAAGCUACGGCACCUGGAGAUGGGCGUGCGGCUGAUUAGGUAGUUGGCGGGGUAAUGGCCCACCAAGCCUACGAUCAGUAGCUGAUGUGAGAGCAUGAUCAGCCACACGGGCACUGAGACACGGGCCCGACUCCUACGGGAGGCAGCAGUAAGGAAUAUUGGUCAAUGGACGCAAGUCUGAACCAGCCAUGCCGCGUGGAGGAUGAAGGUCCUCUGGGUUGUUAACUUCUUUUAUCUGGGACGAAAAAAGGGUUUUCUAACUCGUCUGACGGUACCAGAUGAAUAAGCACCGGCUAACUCCGUGCCAGCAGCCGCGGUAAUACGGAGGGUGCAAGCGUUAUCCGGAUUCACUGGGUUUAAAGGGUGCGUAGGCGGGCAUUUAAGUCAGUGGUGAAAUACCUGAGCUUAACUUGGGAACUGCCAUUGAUACUAUUUGUCUUGAAUGUCGUGGAAGUUAGCGGAAUAUGUCAUGUAGCGGUGAAAUGCUUAGAUAUGACAUAGAACACCUAUUGCGAAGGCAGCUAACUACGCGAAUAUUGACGCUGAGGCACGAAAGCGUGGGGAUCAAACAGGAUUAGAUACCCUGGUAGUCCACGCCCUAAACGAUGAUUACUCGACAUUAGCGAUACACUGUUAGUGUCUGAGCG